ACGAACGCUGGCGGCGUGCUUAACACAUGCCAGUCGAACGGAAAGGCCCUGCUUUUGUGGGGUGCUCGAGUGGCGAACGGGUGAGUAACACGUGAGUAACCUGCCCUUGACUUUGGGAUAACUUCAGGAAACUGGGGCUAAUACCGGAUAGGAGCUCCUGCUGCAUGGUGGGGGUUGGAAAGUUUCGGCGGUUGGGGAUGGACUCGCGGCUUAUCAGCUUGUUGGUGGGGUAGUGGCUUACCAAGGCUUUGACGGGUAGCCGGCCUGAGAGGGUGACCGGCCACAUUGGGACUGAGAUACGGCCCAGACUCCUACGGGAGGCAGCAGUGGGGAAUAUUGCACAAUGGGCGGAAGCCUGAUGCAGCAACGCCGCGUGCGGGAUGACGGCCUUCGGGUUGUAAACCGCUUUCGCCUGUGACGAAGCGUGAGUGACGGUAAUGGGUAAAGAAGCACCGGCGAACUACGU
rnacentral:rRNA from 1 species